rnacentral:rRNA from 1 species
UUUUCCCUACGGGGGCAGCAGUGGGGAAUAUUGCACAAUGGGGGAAACCCUGAUGCAGCGACGCCGCGUGAGUGAAGAAGUAAUUCGUUACGUAAAGCUCUAUCAGCAGGGAAGAAAAUGACGGUACCUGAGUAAGAAGCCCCGGCUAACUACGUGCCAGCAGCCGCGGCAAUACGUAGGGGGCAAGCGUUAUCCGGAUUUACUGGGUGUAAAGGGAGCGUAGACGGUGCGCCAAGUCUGGAGUGAAAUGCCGCAGCUUAACUGCGGAACUGCUUUGGACACUGGCGAACUAGA